AUUGAACGCUGGCGGCAGGCCUAACACAUGCAAGUCGAGCGGAUGAAGGGAGCUUGCUCCUGGAUUCAGCGGCGGACGGGUGAGUAAUGCCUAGGAAUCUGCCUGGUAGUGGGGGAUAACGUCCGGAAACGGGCGCUAAUACCGCAUACGUCCUGCGGGAGAAAGUGGGGGAUCUUCGGACCUCACGCUAUCAGAUGAGCCUAGGUCGGAUUAGCUAGUUGGGGGGGUAAAGGCCUACCAAGGCGACGAUCCGUAACUGGUCUGAGAGGAUGAUCAGUCACACUGGAACUGAGACACGGUCCAGACUCCUACGGGAGGCAGCAGUGGGGAAUAUUGGACAAUGGGCGAAAGCCUGAUCCAGCCAUGCCGCGUGUGUGAAGAAGGUCUUCGGAUUGUAAAGCACUUUAAGUUGGGAGGAAGGGCAGUAAGUUAAUACCUUGCUGUUUUGACGUUACCAACAGAAUAAGCACCGGCUAACUUCGUG
rnacentral:rRNA from 1 species